UCGGAGUCUGCAACUCGACUCCGUGAAGCUGGAUUCGCUAGUAAUCGCGCAUCAGCCAUGGCGCGGUGAAUACGUUCCCGGGCCUUGUACACACCGCCCGUCAAGCCAUGGGAGCCGGGGGUACCUGAAGUCCGUAACCGCGAGGAUCGGCCUAGGGUAAAACUGGUGACUGGGGCUAAGUCGUAACAAGGUAAC
rnacentral:rRNA from 1 species